rnacentral:lncRNA from 1 species
GGACCCUGAUGAGCGUGCAGUUCUGGGGAGAGGCGGCCCAAGGAGUCUGGACCCUGAAGGUGAUGGACAACAGAGGGGCGGUGAGGCAGUGUGGGCGGCGUGAGGAGAGUGAGGAGGCCGCUGGAGUGCUGAUGAGUGCUGGACUGAGACUCUUCGGCACCUAUGACCCACGACGCCCCCUACACCAAGGCCCCCUUCGCAGUUUCGUUUCCAUGGGAACUUCUCAGCCAAUCCCAGAAAACAUCCCGGACCUGCAGGACAGGUCUCUUCCCCAGGCCCUCAUCCAGCUUGCCUUUGAGCUGGAGAGCCAGAGGCGGGUCGUCGACGACGACAUCCCCGGCCCGCACAAACGGAAGGUACGACGACAGCGACUUCCCACACCAGGGCCUGAGUGAUUUACUAUUCCAAUAAAUCAUUGGCGCUGCCUAAUUUCCUAUGGAUU